rnacentral:lncRNA from 1 species
AUGAAAAAUCUCCUGCACCAUAUUCUAAGUGGGAAAGAGUUUGGCGUUGAAAGAAGUGAGACAGGGUUUUUCCAUGUUGGUCAGGCUGGUCUCGAAAUCCCGGCCUCAGGUGAUCUGCCCGCCUCGGCCUCCCAAAGUGCUGGAAUUACAGGUGUGAGCCACCGCGCUGCGCCCUAUCCACUCCUCCACAUCCAGCCCUACCAUCUCCAUCCACGAGGUGGGCCAUACCGGAGUCACCAAAACUGAGAGGAGUGGCAUUAACAGACUGAGGAGUGAAAUGAAACAGAUGACUAGGCGGUUUAGUGCU